UUAACCCACCUCCCUGAUGAGCUGCUUGUUGGUCUCAGGCAUACACGGUCAUCGUUGGUAUCUAAGUUGCCACCUGACAAAUCUGUUCUUAUUUCUUAUUAGGUACCUGAAAGGCUGAACCUGAUCUUUGAUGAACUAGAAGGCCAAGAUACCAAGGACUCGAGUGGGCGACUCCAAGAAUGGUGACCACAUUGCUGCCCUAAGCGAUGAACAGGGCAGGGCGUGUGGUAUUGCAGUUAACUAUGUGUCAUCUGGUCAUCAUAGUGAUUGGUAGAUUAAAACCGUUAGCCACCUCUGAAUUCAUAUCGAAGUCAUGCGAGCUGGUCUUUUUCUGCUUGGAUCUCCAGGGGCCUGAUCAAUUGAACAAGUAUAUUGGGGAGAGCGAAUCAGAAGUAAGGAAAAUAUGAACCCGUGCAAGCACUAACUCACCAUACAUCCUAUUUUUUUGAGGUAAAACUAAGUAGUUGUGGC